rnacentral:tRNA from 1 species
GGCGCUAUAGCCAAGUGGUUACGGCGACAGAUUAGAAUCACGUCGAGUGAGUCAAAUAUCUGUUCCUCUUUGAGGGCGCAGGUUCAAAUCCUGCUGGCGUCG